UACGGGGGGGGCAAGCGUUGUUCGGAAUUACUGGGCGUAAAGGGCUCGUAGGCGGCCAACUAAGUCAGACGUGAAAUCCCUCAGCUUAACUGGGGAACUGCGUCUGAUACUGGAUGGCUUGGAUUUGGGAGAGGGAUGCGGAAUUCCAGGUGUAGCGGUGAAAUGCGCAGAUAUCAGGAGGAACACCGGUGGCGAAGGCGGAUCUCUGGGCCUUACCUGACGCUGAGGCGCGAAAGCUAGGGGAGCGAACAGG
rnacentral:rRNA from 1 species